AAAACAGAAAAAUAAAAAUUUUUAAAAUAACGAAAAAAUUAAAACAAGUAAAAAUGAAAGCAUAUGAAAAAAAAGUAAAAAGAAGGAAAAUUUUGAAGGGAAAAAGUUAUUAAAAAAUUACAAAGUAGGACAAAAAUAGCAAGAAAAAUAAUAAAAUAAAAAAGAUUCAAAAAAUAAAAAUAAAAAAUUUUGAACUUUAUAAAAAUUUUUAAAAUAUAAAUAAAAAUAAAUGGAAAAAUAAAUUAAGAUAAAAUAUUAAUAUGGAAGAAAAAAUUAAAUAAAAUACCAAAAAAGCAAAAAAUAAAAAAGUAAGAUAUUAAAAAAA
rnacentral:lncRNA from 1 species